CGCCCUGACCCGAGCUGUCCGGCCUCACCGCGGUUCCCCGCGCACCUGCUCGCCCCUGCGGCAGGACCCAUGAAAGGAGCCGGACGGGCACUUCUAGUAGUUAUCGGGUUCCAGAUGCCACAGCACGAAGUGGGAACUCAGGAAGGAAGUUCACGGCAUUUGGCUUGAUCAGUGCGAAUCUUGACUAACGCUGGAAUCUUCCCCGUGGGCAGGUGGAAAGAGGGGCGUCAGAUGUAUCUGAAGAGAGAACCCUGGAAUCACUGGCACCACGGAUGGGGAAAGGUUUUAGUUGUGGCAUAAGGCAUCUAGUUCCCUGAACAGGGAUGGAACCCAGGACCCCUGCAUUGUGAGCAUGGAGUCUCAGCCACUGGACCACCCGGGAAGUCCCAGAAAGGAAGUUAAUUUCUUGUGAGCCAGGAUCACUGAUGAACUUCGGGUGUCUCAGAGAAAAUGAGAUUUCAUCCACACUGAAAGGCCCUAUCAGCAAAGCUCUGAGAAGGUGGUGCUGUUUGCUACGUUGUCAGGCAUGAGACUUUAUGGCAACCACCACUGAAACCACUUCGAAGCCACUUCUGUGUCAGGAACUUCACCUUUUUUUACGCUGCUUCUCCAAAGCCAGUUGCUUUUCUUGUCACCUUUGCCAGUGAAAUGAAUGGAGGGGAGAUUCCCAUUUCCUCCUGUUGCUUAACUGUGGAUUGAAGUCUCAGGUGCUUGAAUUUGAUUUAUUAAAAAAAAAUUUAUUUAUUUA